CAUGCAAGUCGAGCGGUAAGGCCCUUCGGGGUACACGAGCGGCGAACGGGUGAGUAACACGUGGGUGAUCUGCCUUGCACUUCGGGAUAAGCCUGGGAAACUGGGUCUAAUACCGGAUAUGACCACGGACUGCAUGGUUUGUGGUGGAAAGAUUUAUCGGUGCGAGAUGGGCCCGCGGCCUAUCAGCUUGUUGGUGAGGUAACGGCUCACCAAGGCGACGACGGGUAGCCGACCUGAGAGGGUGACCGGCCACACUGGGACUGAGACACGGCCCAGACUCCUACGGGAGGCAGCAGUGGGGAAUAUUGCACAAUGGGCGCAAGCCUGAUGCAGCGACGCCGCGUGCGGGAUGACGGCCUUCGGGUUGUAAACCGCUUUUGACAGGGACGAAGCGCAAGUGACUGUACCUGUAGAAUAAGGACCGGCCAACUACGUGCCAGCAGCCGCGGUAAUACGUAGGGUCCGAGCGUUGUCCGGAAUUACUGGGCGUAAAGAGCUUGUAGGCGGUUCGUCGCGUCGUUUGUGAAAACUUGGGGCUCAACCUUAAGCUUGCAGGCGAUACGGGCGGACUAGAGUACUUCAGGGGAGACUGGAAUUCCUGGUGUAGCGGUGAAAUGCGCAGAUAUCAGGAGGAACACCGGUGGCGAAGGCGGGUCUCUGGGAAGUAACUGACGCUGAGAAGCGAAAGCAUGGGUAGCAAACAGGAUUAGAUACCCUGGUAGUCCAUGCCGUAAACGGUGGGUACUAGGUGUGGGGCUCCUUCCACGGACUCCGUGCCGUAGCUNACGCAUUAAGUACCCCGCCUGGGGAGUACGGCCGCAAGGCUA
rnacentral:rRNA from 1 species